rnacentral:rRNA from 1 species
UGGGGAAUAUUGGACAAUGGGCGAAAGCCUGAUCCAGCCAUGCCGCGUGAGUGAUGAAGGCCCUAGGGUUGUAAAGCUCUUUCACCGGUGAAGAUAAUGACGGUAACCGGAGAAGAAGCCCCGGCUAACUUCGUGCCAGCAGCCGCGGUAAUACGAAGGGGGCUAGCGUUGUUCGGAAUUACUGGGCGUAAAGCGCACGUAGGCGGACAUUUAAGUCAGGGGUGAAAUCCCGGGGCUCAACCCCGGAACUGCCUUUGAUACUGGGUGUCUCGAGUCCGGAAGAGGUGAGUGGAAUUCCGAGUGUAGAGGUGAAAUUCGUAGAUAUUCGGAGGAACACCAGUGGCGAAGGCGGCUCACUGGUCCGGUACUGACGCUGAGGUGCGAAAGCGUGGGGAGCAAACAGG